ensembl:lncRNA novel transcript
AUUCUCUUAGGAGGCUGCAUUUGUGGCGCUAAAAAAAGGGAUGGGCGUGGGAGAUUCCAGGACUUGUGCUCGCUGAAGAUACAACUGUUAGUCCAAGGGGUGACCCUGGAGAUCAUUACCAAAAUUUAAAAAUUUCACCACUGGGCACACAUGUUACCCUUCUCGUGAUGGCAUGGCAAAGCUUGAUUUGCAAGAGUUUCUUUUGGAUUGUCCCCAAUGAUUCCCUUUAAAAAUAGGAGCUCCUUCAAGCUCCUGUAUCAGCAGUGCUUGCACCUCAUAGGUGAUGAUCAUGAGGGGGACAAGGAGCCUCUAGACUUAAGAGACAAGUUGCCAGCAUUCUCCAGAUGGAGUGUUUCCCUCCGCAGCACCCCCUGCUGGUCAGUUUGACAAGCAGGUGAACAGAAGUUCUCAAAUACACAAUAGUAGAUUCUAUCAAUCAAGUUUCAUAAAGAGUUCUGAUUCCCAGAGGUAAGAACUGAGCCUGGCUUUCUAGUUACAUGUUUAUUGGUAACUCUGUCCUUCCCUACAACACUUAAGCAUAUUUAAAGACUAUACCCUCCCCUGCCUCCAGCUUGGAUUGUAAGCUCCUCAAGAGCAUGGCUGUGUCCUUUAACAUCAGGUCUCCAUGUGAGAAGGAGUUCCUGCCAUAUCAUAAAUGCCCAAUCAACAUUUGUAAGUGAAGAAAGCUAUUCUGUGGUGUCUGCUUUAAUAUUAAGAGAUGGCUUGCCCAAGAUUGCUAAGCAGCUUCAUUGUCUACAACGGAACAAGAUUCUGUGGGUAGCAGGUCCAUUGGUGCCACUGACAGGAGGCCUCAAGGAAACCUAGUGCCUUAUUCAUUCUGAUGGCGCCUUGAUUUUCUUCCAGCACAGAGCCGUAAAAUGGAAUAUUCUUCUGACACAGAUACUUCAUGUAUCGCACCAUCAUCCGUGUCGCGUUGCCUCUCCUUCGGUAUUUUUCCACACUGUAGCCCAUUCCUAUUUCACAAGAAGGGUCCAUGGUUACCCAUGAGACCGGGACCCCCUCUGGGCCCAGCAUACAGACUGCUGGCAGGGCUCCUAGGCAGCGCUUGAUGUAAUGCAGGCUCCUCUUAUUCAUCCCUAGCUUCCAGUUGUCAUUUACCAGCCCAGAAUAAGACACAUUCAGCUGGGCAUACUUAAAAUUGGGAGUCUCGCUGUAGAAAACAAAAAGAAAGACAACAACUUUCAUCCCCACUCCUGUAAUUUCUAGGUGCCCUUCCAUUCUAGAGAUCCCAGGCCCUCUUCUUGUUAAAAGACCCACCAUUGCAAAGUGGCGUAUUUUGACCAUUGACAACCUUUAUUCAUCCCAAGGAAUGAAUUCAUCGUCUCUUCAUUCCAAAACUGAUUUAUGUGAAUUACAAAAAUGUACAAGGAAUAGCAAUUAUAAAUGAUCAGCACAUGUUUUUUGUACCUCUCCAAUUCGUCAUCUGGGUGGCCUGUCUCAGCCCAGCUUCCAAGCUUGCUUUUAUUGGUGGCAUAGAGCUUCAGGAUAUCUUCCGUAACAAAGAGGAGUGCUCUCGAAUGCUCUACCUUCACUGAAUUUGAAAAUGCAGCUGCUUUUAUCCCCUCACCUAAACUUUCUUGAAAACCUGAGAGAAAGCCAAGAAAGCAAUAUUGUCAGACAUGCAGUUCUCUACUUACAUUGCUCCCACCUGAUUAAUACCUCAGUGCUUAGUAGUUUUCAAAGUUGAGUUUACACCACAAUCAGCUAUAGUCCUUGGCACACCACAGAUUGCUCCACCUCUCCCAGCUCAGAGAGUUUCUAUGAAUUUACAUUUCUAAUGAGCUCUCAGGUGAUGCUAAUGCUGUUAGUUGAAGACACAAUUUGAGAAGCACAGCUGCUUGCCCAUUUCUUCAGACUUGUUACCUUGGAUUUGGAGUUUCUGUUUCCAGUUUAUGAUCUCAGAAUUUUUCAAAACUUCUUGUGAUUUUUGAGGGUCUUUGGAGAAUAUACGAUAUACAUUAGUGUAUGAAUCCAUGUCAUCAGUCAUCUCCUGUGUAGGAUGGUGAAAGGUCAGGUCAUUCCCUUGAACUUUUUCUUCUCCUCUCACUGAUUGCAAUUAUUAGAAAAAUGACAAUUGAAAGGAAAAUUUUAACACCAGCCCACGAUGGCUGCAGUUGGGCACAUGGAUAAUAGAACCAAGGCCUAUAAGCUACUGCUGACCUCUUACCUGUUUAACUGGAGUUUGUUAAAUAUUGAACACUGACAGGUACUGGUUAUAAACCUGCUUAUCAGAUGCAUAACAAAGACAGGAUGAAAUCAGUCACCUUCCACCAGGCCUUAAGAUGCCUCACCUUUCUCCCUACCCACUCAACCGCACACUUACCUUAUUUUAUAUAUAGCAUCACAGAGCGCCCAGCAGAAGCAAAGGAAUGCAACAAUUGCUUCUCUCCCUGCUUCUCUCACCUCCUGGACCACACAUAUCCCCCUGUUAUAUAUACUGUGCCCCACAUAACCCCCUGUGGGACAUAUUCUGCGUUGUACUGAGUCCGUGUUGAUAGGGUUAAGUUCUUAAACUUGGCACAAGAUGAAUUUAACUGUGAUUUCUCUAAGUUUUAGUGCCUACUGUUUCACCAGACACCUACAAUCUAUACUGUUUUAGAAUCUGCAGUGUCCAGGGUUUGAGCAAGAUACUUUAGUGAAUAGAAACAUUAAGGAGACAUUGCCUUUUCCCAAGGCUACAGGAUAUCAGCCUCUUUGAAGAGUGACAUGGCCUUUACAGCCAGAAGCCCACAAAAUAGAAUGAAGUAACUGAAUUUUCGGUAGCACUCUGCACAAUUUAUGUGGUGUUGGACUCAUGGGUUUUAAAGAAAGAGACUUGUGAUCCCAUUCUGACAAGCCACAAACUUCAUGGGACGAUGUGUAUCUGUUUAUCAGGGGAAAUAUAAACAAUAAGUGUGAGAGUUUUAGCAGUGAAUGUAUUAAUAUCAUGUUGAAAAUUUUAUCGUUAAGGAGUAAAAGAGAAAAUAGUGUAACUAAUUUUAAGGAAACCUUCAAAAAUUUGGGGGUGCUUUUAUAAAUGCAAGUUCCUGAAUAUGGCCAAAACACAACACCUCAGUGAAUUUAAAAGAGUAGAAGUUUUAAAAGACCCGAUUUUAAAAGAAUGUCUUAAAAUAGCCAAGUAAAUAUUCAAAGAAUUAUAAAGAGAAUAUCAAAGUAAACCAGAAAAUAACUAAUGGAACAAUUUGUAAAAAUAAAAGCCAUAAAUACUGAAAUGUAGAAAGUUCAUUAUUAAAUGGGAAAAAGAGAAAGAGCAGAAGAGAGAGAUAAACUUCUGGUAAGGCAUUUAAAGGAAAUAGAAGAGAAAGAGAAAAGAGAAAAAAAGGCAUAGAGUAUGAGCCA